AUCACCGGGCAGGCAUUACCGCUUCCGGGGAGCGCCGCCGCCGGGGAACCCGGAAAAGGGGGAAUGCGGCGGGGAAUGGAGGGGAAGCGCGGCCCGGGGACGGGGAAGGUCCCGGCCUGCGGUCCCCGGCAGCCGCGGGGAGCCGGGGCGGGGCUGCCCCUCAGGGAGGGCCGGAGGCGCCCGAGGGCCAGAGCCCCCCGAGCCGCCCUGAUCCGUGAUAGCCGGCGUGGACGGGGUGAAUCACGGAAUGGUCGGGGUUGGAAUGACCUCUGGAGAUCACCCAGUCCAACCCCCUGCCAAGGCAGGGUCACCCAGAGCAGGUGACACAGGAACGUGUCCAGAUGGGUCUGGAAUGUCUCCAGAGAGGGACACUCCACACCCUCCCUGGGCAGCUGUUCCAGAGCUCGGCCACCUCCAUGGAAAGAAGUUCCUCCUUGUGUAGGGGUGAAACUUCUCGUGUUUUAGUUUAUGCCCAUUGCUCUUUGUCCUUCUGCUGGGCACCACUGAAAAGAGUCUGGCGCCAUCCUCUCGGCACCCUCCUGGGAGAUUCUUAUAUGUAUGGAUGAGAUCCUUUCUCAGCCUUCUGUAGACUACAAACAGGCCCUGCUCCUGCAGGCUCUCCUCAUAAAAGAGAUGCUCUUUAUUUAAAUGAAUCUUAUUUAAAUUCGUUGCAGGACUUCUGUGAUGCUUUGGUGGACUUUGUGGGCAGCUGCCUGAUGUGUCAUUCCCGUGGCUGUUCCCGGCUAGUUCAGUGGGAAUUUCUGCAGCAGAAUCUGCUGUGUAUUGUGAAGUGUUGCCAAUCACCAGAGUCAGGAAAAUAUGGGAAUGCAGAGAAGGUGACAGUAACUGUGGAAGAGCUGCAGUGUGUCCCUGUUCUGAAACCUGUAAAUGACCACAGACGAAGCAGAGGAAAAAAACAUUUUAAAAUUGAAAUGUGCAAUCGAAGACCUUCAAGAAUGGUCAGGAAAAGUGAGCAGCCUUUAGAAGGGGAGGGAAAAAGAGAGAAAUCAUAGAAAUGCUGAAAAUAUUUAAGAAAGGAAUUUACAGAAAUACUGGCCAGCAAGCCAGGGCAGAGCAGCUGGAGCAAGGAGGAGGAGAUGCUGGCCUAGAAGGGAGAAUCAGUACCUUGCUAUUUGUCCAGCAUAAUCUUCACAAUCUUUUCAACAUCAGUCUGUGCCUUCUGGGACUCCAAGAAACCUCCUUUCCUGGCAGUGCCUCUCUUCUAGUACCCCUUGAGACAGACUUUCCUCCUCCUCCAAACAGUUUGCUUUGAAUAGUUCUCUAAAAUCCUACUCAUCCAGGGAGGAUGACACAAAAAGGCAGCGCGUUUGAGUUAUCAGAGGCAGCCCUACCUAGCAAACAUGAGAAAGGCAUUUGGACUCAGAUCAAGUGCUGAGUGUGUUACAAGCACAUCAACCCACCUCAGUAAAGAGGAACAAGUCCAAAGUGUGAAAUUUUGAGUAGGAAAGUAUAAACAUCUUUACCAGGAUGUUAAUGUUACGUGUCUAAUGGUGCCCGCAACUGCUCUUGCUCCCCCUGUACCACAUGAACCACAUAAAAGAAGGAAGAGGAAAAAGCAGACAGGACAGCCUUUACUCCAAGCUAAUUCUGAGGACCAGAGGAAUUCAAUCUGCAGCUGAGCUACCACUGCCCUUGCCUCCUUUUCUUCUCCCCCAACAUGUCAUUUAGAUCCAUUUCCAAAGCCACUCAAACAUGUUUAGUAACUAACUAGAAAUAGUGCAGUGAUCUUGGAGCCUUUCACAGCUCCCUGAAAUCCAAACAACUUUUCAAUCAGUAUGGGCAGAAACAAGGUCAAGUGCCAGCAGGCAGAGAAGGCUCUCAAGCCCCAGGAGUUCCUGCAGCUCUGGACUACUUUCAGGAUAGACCCAAGCUGCAAAACAGAAACAUUUCAUCUGCCAGCAGGGAGGCACAGGGCUAAUUAGCAGGUCUUGAACAGCAAGAUUGAAACUGAGAGCAUCCAGCACUCUCCCUGUUUUUUCAUGGAUGCUAUUUCUCUGUAUCACCUGCCUCUGCUCCCUGAGCACCCACCUCUUCCCUGCUAUCCAGCCCUGCUGAUCAUGGAGCUGUAGUAGCUGUCAUGAGAACAUCAGCUCAAACUGUGUAGAAAUGGAAAUCAAUUCUCCUCACUCAUGAGAGAGGUUUGUGUCAGGAGUUUCAUUCUCAUUUAUGCCAUGAGCAUGAGUGGCAGAGAGCCCAAGGUAGAGUCCCAGGACAGUCACACCCCAACAUAAUUCUGAACAACUUCUUGAGACUGGACACCUUAGAAGAAAAGGGUUGUUUGUCUGAAAACUUACCCUAUCCUGAGGAGUUAGAAGCACAGGAAGAUAAACAUUUGAACACUGGCUGUUCCUUGGAAAAUGAGGAGGUGAAGGGACACCACCAUGAGAUGUUUCCAUGCACAACUCAAGUGCAGGUGCUUUGGCACCGCCACCAGCAAGGUGAUUUCAUCACCAGACACAGGAAACCUGUCAUGGCCUGCCAUGAGGGCCUGGAGAGAGCAUGGUGUAUUUAAUCUGUGCACAGCCAGAGAGUUCCCUGCUCCCAGCUCACAAGGUUUGCAACACAUCAAUCAGCUUAAGGAGGGUGAUUUUCCUCGGAGAGGUUUUGAUUAAAGCUACAGUACUUGCUGGUGAUCUGAGG